UACGGAGGGGGCGAGCGUUGUUCGGAAUUACUGGGCGUAAAGGGCGCGUAGGCGGCCUUCUAAGUCGAACGUGAAAUCCCCGGGCUCAACCCGGGAACUGCGUCCGAUACUGGAAGGCUUGAAUCCGGGAGAGGGAUGCGGAAUUCCAGGUGUAGCGGUGAAAUGCGUAGAUAUCUGGAGGAACACCGGUGGCGAAGGCGGCAUCCUGGACCGGCAUUGACGCUGAGGCGCGAAAGCCAGGGGAGCAAACGGG
rnacentral:rRNA from 1 species